CGCACAAGCCACCCCGGCCGCUGGGGGAGACGCCCUCCGCUCAGGAUCGCCCACGCCCGCCGCGGAGCCGGCGCCGCCCGCCCUGAGGCUGUGCCGUGGCGGGGCGCGCCCGCGGGCGGCCCGAUCCCGGCCGGAGGAGGAGAAGGAGGGUGUGCAGGACCAUGCUGGCGGGGCUGGGGCGGGCGGUGCGGAGCAAGUGGCCGCUCCCGGUGCCGCUGGGCAGGCGGGAUGGCUGCCCGCCGCCCUCGCAGCCUCAGGUGUGGCUCUGGAGGAACGCUGGAGCUUGGAGGGGCCGGGAAGGAGCACCGUACAGCACACUGGUGCCAUCUGAUGAAGUAACUAUUAAUUACAGACAUGGUCUUCCUGUGAUAACUCUUAUGCUGCCCACAAGAAGUGAACGCUGUCAGUUCACUGUUAAGCCAGUGGUGACCACUGUAGGAGCGUUCCUGCAGGAUGUGCGAAGAGAAGAUAAAGGAAUUGAGCGAGCAGAAGUCUUUGCAACAGAUGGUAGCAAGGUCUCUGAGGCAACCUUGAUGGAGGUCUUACUGAUGAAUGACUUUAAACUUGUUAUCAACGACACAGCAUACAGUGUGUCACCUCCUGUAAAAGAUAAGCUGAAUAGUGAACAUGCUACCGAAAUGGAAGAUAUCAAAUCCUUGGUUCACAGACUGUUUGUGGCUCUACAUUUAGAAGAUCACCAGAUCAGGAAAGAGAGAGAAUUGCUACAGAAAGUGGAUCACCUGAAAGAAGAGCUGUUGCCCCUUGAACAGAUGAAAGCCAGAAUCGUGAACAGUGCAGAUGCAAAGACCUCCAGGCUUCUAUGGGUUGGCUUAGCUCUGAUGUCAACUCAAGGGGGAGCGUUGGCGUGGCUCACGUGGUGGGUCUAUUCGUGGGACAUCAUGGAGCCAGUCACGUACUUCAUCACUUACGGGAGUGCCAUGGCUUUCUAUGCCUACUUUGUUCUUACUAAGCAAGACUACAUUUACCCUCAUGCCAAGGACAGACAGUUUCUCCACUACUUCUACCGGAAGUCCAAAAAACAGCAUUUUAAUGUGGAACGAUACAACAAGCUCAAAGACGACCUAGCAGAGGCAGAAGAAUCCCUGAGGCGUCUGCGCCAACCUCUGCACCUGAGGCUUCCCAUCCAGGAAAUCAGUGACAAGGACUGACUUUGUUUUUGUAUAUACUGGAGUUGCCCUUUCAAAGCUGAUACGAACAUUUAGUUACUCCAUUGAAACUGGCUCUUUGCAUUGACUCUGGUGUAACACCCGCUGAUGAAGGUCAGACUUGAUCUACAGAGUAUAACUGAUCUUCUCCAGAGCCAAGAGAAGGAAGAGGCUGAUCCAACACCAAGGCCUGAAGUGUGAAGCAAAAUGAAGAAGUGUUCAAGGCUGUUAUAGUGAAGUAUUGAACACUGGAUGUAAAAAUAUGAGAACUUACCUUGUGCCACAGAGUAGCACAUGAUAAAGUCUGCACCAGCGGGCAGAGUAUAGACACCAGC